GAUGGUUAAAUCCCUCCUUUACUA
rnacentral:tRNA from 1 species